rnacentral:rRNA from 2 species
GGCGCCUUCGGUGUCCGAGUUGUAAUUUGAAGAAGGUAACUUUGGUUUUGGCUCUUGUCUAUGUUCCUUGGAACAGGACGUCACAGAGGGUGAGAAUCCCGUGCGAUGAGAUGCCCAAUUCCAUGUAAAGUGCUUUCGAAGAGUCGAGUUGUUUGGGAAUGCAGCUCUAAGUGGGUGGUAAAUUCCAUCUAAAGCUAAAUAUUGGCGAGAGACCGAUAGCGAACAAGUACAGUGAUGGAAAGAUGAAAAGAACUUUGAAAAGAGAGUGAAAAAGUACGUGAAAUUGUUGAAAGGGAAGGGUUUGAGAUCAGACUUGGUAUUUUGUAUGUUUUACUCUCGGGUGAGGCCUCUGCAGUUUACUGGGCCAGCAUCAGUUUGGAUGGUAGG